rnacentral:piRNA from 1 species
UGCUGGGACUUCCUGCGAUUUUUGUG